rnacentral:lncRNA from 10 species
GGCGAGCCCGUCCUUCCUCCCUGCUUUCUCCAAGGUCAUCUGCAUUCAGAGCCUGGAAUCAGUGGGAGUGAGGAGCUGCUUGUGUAAACCCAGGGCUGGGGCUUCACAGCACCGUCCACUAGACCUUCUGCAAGGAAGGAAAUGCGCCAUCAUCUGUGCUGCCCAACGGGACGGCCCUGGCCACACUUUAAUCCUGGCUCGUGCAACUGGGAAACUGAAUUUUUAAAAAGAAUUUAAAUUUAAAUAACCACAGGAGGCGCUUGGCUACCAUAUUGGACACGGCAUACAAUACAGAUGGCUAGGGAAAGUGAGGUCAGUGUGCGCCAGGGAGCACCUCAGGUAGCUGGGACCAGCAAGGCUGGAGGCAGGAAAACGUAAGGCUUAUCCAGGCAAAGGAACAGUCUGAAGUCAUUAGAAACUUAAUGAUGCAAGGGGGUAAUUGGCCGCUUGCCUCGGAGUUGCUGGGUAACUAAUGUCGUGAGGUCACAGCGCCCUCCAAGUACCUUGUGCUCCUAUGAAGAGGGAGCAGCUUUCUGAAAUUUUUAACACCUUUCCAGAUGUGCUGAAGAGAUCUGUCCUAGAGAUGUUGCAGGCGUGAUAUUUUCAUGGCAUUUUAAAGUAUCACUGGAUCCGUCUUCC